UUUACUUGCUUAAAACCAAACUCAAUAUUGCUUACCUCAAUAUGACUUUGUUCCUUCAUGCGAUGUUCCCUCAGCGGGCUGGCUGUACUGUGGAGCUUCUCACGUCCAGCCUGGAGUUGUAGGACAGUCCCCUGCACAUCACUUAACUCUGUGGUCUGGGGUACACAAUGUAUAACAGUGUGGGCUGGCUGUACUGUGGAGCUUCUCACGUCCAGCCUGGAGUUGUAGGACAGUCCCCUGCACAUCACUUAACUCUGUGGUCUGGGGUACACAAUGUAUAACAGUGCGGGCUGGCUGUACUGUGGAGCUUCUCACGUCCAGCCUGGAGUUGCAGGACAGUCCCUUGCACAUCACUUGUCAACUGUGUGGUCUGGGGUACACAAUGUAUAACAGAGCGGGCUGGCUGUACUGUGGAGCUUCUCAUGUCCAGCCUGGAGUUGCAGAAUAGGCCCCUGCACAUCACUUGUCAACUCUGAGGUCUGGG